rnacentral:rRNA from 1 species
UGGGGAAUAUUGCACAAUGGGCGCAAGCCUGAUGCAGCCAUGCCGCGUGUAUGAAGAAGGCCUUCGGGUUGUAAAGUACUUUCAGUCGGGAGGAAGGUGGUAAGGUUAAUAACCUUAUCAAUUGACGUUACCCGCAGAAGAAGCACCGGCUAACUCCGUGCCAGCAGCCGCGGUAAUACGGAGGGUGCAAGCGUUAAUCGGAAUUACUGGGCGUAAAGCGAACGCAGGCGGUUUGUUAAGUCAGAUGUGAAAUCCCCGGGCUCAACCUGAGAAGUGCAUCUGAUACUGGCAAGCUUGAGUCUCGUAGAGGGGGGUAGAAUUCCAGGUGUAGCGAUGAAAUGCGUAGAGAUCUGGGGGAAUACCGGUGGCGAGGGCGGCCCCCUGGACGAAGACUGACGCUCAGGUGCGAAAGCGUGGGGAGCAAACAGG